GCCUCAGUAGCAUAGCCUGGUGGUGCGGCUGACUUGUAAUCAGCAGGUCGCGAGUUCGAAUCUCGCCUGGGGCU
rnacentral:tRNA from 1 species